AAUGCUACACUUGUUCUGCCAAAGUUUGAAGUAGCUGCAUACUGGAACGAGUCAAGUGGAUUUGCAGAUGUAUUUGAUGUAGACUACUUUAUUCAAAAGAUGAGUGGUUGUAUUGAAGUUGUAAAAGAAUUGCCAAAA